rnacentral:rRNA from 1 species
AUACGGAGGGUCCAAGCGUUAUCCGGAUUCAUUGGGUUUAAAGGGUCCGCAGGCGGGAAAAUAAGUCAGUGGUGAAAGCCUACAGCUCAACUGUAGAACUGCCAUUGAAACUGUUUUUCUUGAGUAUAGAUGAAGUGGGCGGAAUACAUCAUGUAGCGGUGAAAUGCAUGGAUAUGAUAUAGAACACCGAUUGCGAAGGCAGCUCACUAAACUAUUACUGACGCUCAGGGACGAAAGCGUGGGGAGCGAACAGGAUUAGAAACCCCAGUAGUCC